GAGAAAGCAUUUUAGGAGUAUCUGCACACAGAAAAGAAGCCUUGAAACACAAUGUGGAAGGACAAGAGCCCAGGAGUGAAGAUUCUCUGGUUAUGGACCAUCGGCACCGCUGCCGUGCUUGUUGCUAAUGUUGCUACAAGUAGAGUAAGAGACAUGAACAAGCUGCUCGAUGCUCAGGAAGAAUCUUCGCUUCCUUCCGCUGAUUCGCAAUCAACCGACUCCAUUAUAACAGAUCAGGUGAUUGAUUCUAGCCUAGACAAACGAAUUUGAUAACUCGCAAUUUUUAAUUUGAUCUGUUCAAGAGUUUUGCGGUUUUGAAUUUGUUUGAUGUUUAUUUGAAUUUCGUGUUGGAUCAUAUCAUCUUCCUGAAUUCUUUUCGUGUUAGACAGUUCAUGGUGUGCGAUCUUGCUCGAGAGUUAUUUUGUUUAUGAUCCUAUAUGCAUGUAUGCUAGGUGUUUGAUAAAAUGUCUGAGUGACUUUUGACCCUUGGUUACCUGUAUUAUGAUCUAUCUAUUAGUCUCUUGAGUAGAA